rnacentral:rRNA from 1 species
UACGAAGGGGGCUAGCGUUGCUCGGAAUCACUGGGCGUAAAGGGUGCGUAGGCGGGUCUUUAAGUUAGGGGUGAAAUCCUGGAGCUCAACUCCAGAACUGCCUUUGAUACUGAGGAUCUUGAGUCCGGGAGAGGUGAGUGGAACUGCGAGUGUAGAGGUGAAAUUCGUAGAUAUUCGCAAGAACACCAGUGGCGAAGGCGGCUCACUGGCCCGAUACUGACGCUGAGGCACGAAAGCGUGGGGAGCAAACAGG